UACGUAGGCAGCGAGCGUUGUUCGGAAUUACUGGGCGUAAAGAGUGUGUAGGCGGUGCUCUAAGUUCGGUGUGAAAUCUCCUGGCUCAACUGGGAGGGUGCGCCGGAAACUGGAGUGCUUGAGCGUGGGAGAGGAAAGCGGAAUUCCUGGUGUAGCGGUGAAAUGCGUAGAUAUCAGGAGGAACACCUGUGGUGUAGACGGCUUUCUGGACCAUAGCUGACGCUGAGGCACGAAAGCGUGGGUAGCAAACAGG
rnacentral:rRNA from 1 species